rnacentral:pre_miRNA from 1 species
CUGGUGUGUGGCUUGGUGGUCGUAUGUAUGACGUCAUUUACUUGGACUUUUAGGAGUGACAUCAUAUGUACGGCUGCUCCACUGCAUGCA